GUUUAAGUGAAUUACUUUUUAUUACUUAACUAGUUUCAGUAUAUGCUGACGGUUUUGUUCCUUUGUGAAUAGUAGGGAGUGUGUUUGCAGGUUCACUGCUGAUAUUGAUAAGGAAACGGUGGCUCAGCAUGAUAACACUUAUAUUUGGCAUUUCCAGAAUUAUGCAGGAGUCACAAAUGUCAACUGUUGUAGAGCGAUGGAUUAUUUAUACAACCCUAAACUUUAAUAUUUGAUGUAGAGCACAGAGAUCUUACAACUCAAGUGACUAAAGAGAUCUCAUACAAGAACGCUAGAAAUGUGUUUACUAUACUGUGACAACACAGAUACUAGGGAGGCAGUGCACAGCAUACUGAAACCUGCAUACUGAACUUAGUAUUUUCUGGAAACUUCCAUUGGUGUGGCUCAGAGCCUUCUUUUACCUUCUGCUCUUUUUCACUGCUGAAGCAAACAUCAUAUCGUACACAGUUGAUUGCAGUCCAGGCCAGAGAAGAAACGCAUGAGUGGCCUCUCUCUCUCUCUCUCUCUCUCUCACACACACACACACUCACACUGCAGGUCUCUCUUCCGCUGUGUCCUGUCGUCAUGAGAGUGUCAGCAGAGGCUGCUGUGUCCCGGCUCAUCAUCCAGCAGCACUCCAUCAGAUAA
ensembl:lncRNA